rnacentral:misc_RNA from 1 species
UGGUUCUGGCAUCGAUGAAGAACGCAGCGAAAUGCGAUAAGUAGUGUGAAUUGCAGAAUUCAGUGAAUCAUCGAAUCUUUGAACGCACAUUGCGCCCCUUGGUAUUCCAUGGGGCAUGCCUGUUCGAGCGUCAUUUGAACCCUCAAGCUCUGCUUGGUGUUGGGUGUUUGUCCUGCCUUUGGCAUGGACUCGCCUUAAAGUAAUUGGCAGCCAUGGUAUUCGGCUUUGAGCGCAGCACAUUGCGUACUUACAGCAGGUCCAUUGGCAUCCAUAAGCCCUUUUUUUACUCUUGACCUCGGAUCAGGUAGGGAUACCCGCUGA